GUUCGAGUAGCUCAGUUGGCAGAGCAUUGGGCUAGUAUUCCAAAGGUCGUAGGUUCAAUUCCCACCGUGGCCG